AUGAACGCUGGCGGCGUGCCUAAUACAUGCAAGUCGAGCGAACGGACGAGAAGCUUGCUUUUCUGAUGUUAGCGGCGGACGGGUGAGUAACACGUGGAUAACCUACCUAUAAGACUGGGAUAACUUCGGGAAACCGGAGCUAAUACCGGAUAAUAUUUUGAACCGCAUAGUUCAAAAGUGAAAGACGGUCUUGCUGUCACUUAUAGAUGGAUCCGCGCUGCAUUAGCUAGUUGGUAAGGUAACGGCUUACCAAGGCAACGAUGCAUAGCCGACCUGAGAGGGUGAUCGGCCACACUGGAACUGAGACACGGUCCAGACUCCUACGGGAGGCAGCAGUAGGGAAUCUUCCGCAAUGGGCGAAAGCCUGACGGAGCAACGCCGCGUGAGUGAUGAAGGUCUUCGGAUCGUAAAACUCUGUUAUUAGGGAAGAACAUAUGUGUAAGUAACUGUGCACAUCUUGACGGUACCUAAUCAGAAAGCCACGGCUAACUACGUG
rnacentral:rRNA from 1 species